GACGAACGCUGGCGGCGUGCUUAACACAUGCAAGUCGAACGGAAAGGCCCUGCUUUUGUGGGGUGCUCGAGUGACGAACGGGUGAGUAACACGUGAGUAACCUGCCCUUGACUUUGGGAUAACUUCAGGAAACUGGGGCUAAUACCGGAUAGGAGCUCCUGCUGCAUGGUGGGGGUUGGAAAGUUUCGGCGGUUGGGGAUGGACUCGCGGCUUAUCAGCUUGUUGGUGGGGUAGUGGCUUACCAGGGCUUUGACGGGUAGCCGGCCUGAGAGGGUGACCGGCCACAUUGGGACUGAGAUACGGCCCAGACUCCUACGGGAGGCAGCAGUGGGGAAUAUUGCACAAUGGGCGGAAGCCUGAUGCAGCAACGCCGCGUGCGGGAUGACGGCCUUCGGGUUGUAAACCGCUUUCGCCUGUGACGAAGCGUGAGUGACGGUAAUGGGUAAAGAAGCACCGGCUAACUACGUG
rnacentral:rRNA from 1 species